GUCUGAGCUUUGCUGGAAGGUGAAUUAGAUUUUGAAAAUAAAAAGAGAAAUUCGUUGCUCAUUUAGCUGCCUUAAAUCAUCUCUAGGGUAAGAUAUUAUAUAUGUAUAUGCAUGUAUAAAACAUACAUAUGUAUAUUUAGAGAGACAUAUAUAUGCAAUACAUGUACAUACAUAAUUCAUUCAUCUAUGAGAUAUUAGACAAAGCACCAUUUGGUACGUUGAAGUACCCAGCUUUACAUUUUCCAAAUCUCUACUAGCCCACUCUUUCUAAUGUUCACCUUCUGGAACCAUGCAGGUUGCAAAGUGAAUGGAGAUUAGCUGUCUAUGGGUGUUCAUCAGACACUGAAGAAUACUGUUGGGUUGCAGCAGCUGUUAUUUUCUGGCAGAAACCAAAUCAUUUGGAAUGCUGCAGAAUGAGAAGCUUCCUGUCAACUGGUGGCACUUACCACAAGGGAGCAGAGGCCUUUUUACGCCGGCUCUUAAUCUGCAAGUAACAGAACCUACCUGUACAAAUAGCUUUACUGGAUGGUGUGAUGGCUCCAUGAAAUAGUAUCCUGCAGCCAAGACCAUCCUCAAGGAGGUUAAUGAAUGUGGCACCACAGGAAAAAUAUGCAUCAACAUUGAAAAGUAAGAUGAAUUAUUUUACCUGGUAGUAUUUUUUUUGUUAAUUAUACUUUAUUUGUUUACAUUAAUAUCCUUAUGUUGUCAGAGGUGCAUUAAGACAAUAACAGUUUUGCUCCGAAGAAAAAGUCAUUGGUGCUUUCUCCUGGAAUAUUUUCCUAUGACCUUAGUUCUCUAGAGAAGCUUGUGUGGUGAGCCUGUAGUAAUGAGAUUUGAGAGGUAAUGGGAAUGGAAUGUGAAACAAGGGAAGAGUAGGGUACCGAAGAUUCAUAAUCUGAAAAUUUUGCUUUGAACUAGCUGGGACCAGAGUAUCUACACAUAAGGUCACACCAAUUAAUUCUGAAUUUACCAAGAGUUGUUUUACAUACUGCAAAGUUUAGAAUAAUAAUAUAUAUAUAUAUAAAUAAUUUUAUUUUUACAAUGGUAUGCUUCUUUUCAAGUGUCUGCUUUUUAGAGACUUGAGUCAAUAACAAAUUAGAAAAAGUGACCUGACUUCUAAUUUUUCAAUUCUGAAAUAUUCCUAUUGUGAUGAUUAUUUUUAUGGGGUAAAAGGGAACUGAGAUCUAACCUUCUCAAUCCUAGAUAGAUUUUAAAAUCAUUUGAAGAAAUUCAAUAAUUAUUCAUGCUAAGAUUUUACUGAAAACCA
rnacentral:lncRNA from 1 species